CUAAAGUAGCUGUAGCUGUGGCCGUGACAGGGGCAGAACUUGGCGGAGGAGAGCUCAUACCCCCACCAGGUGCCCCACCGGGUGAGGUGGGUGUAGGAGCUCCUCCGGGACCAGAAGCACUUGAAGGUGUAGGAGCUCCUCCGGGACCAGGAGCACUUGAAGGUGUAGGAGCUCCUCCGGGGCCAGGAGCUGGUGAGGAUGACGGCACUGAUGCUGGUGUAGGUGCUGGACCCGCUGGUGUUUUUGGUGCUGGGGCUGGUGUUGCUGCUGCUGGUGUUUUUGCUGGCGCCGGGGCCGAAGUCGGUGGUGCAGGUGUAGUUGACGGUGUUGAUGCUGGCGGAGGUGUGGAUGAGGGUGGAGGUGUGGAUGCUGGUGGAGGUGUUGAUGGUGGCGAUGAUGCUGGUGGAGGGGUGGCUUUAGGAGCUGGAGCUGGAGCUGCACCACCUCCUGAAACGGAGACGGUCAAUUUUUGUCCCAAGGAACAGUGCUGGCCGAAGGUGCAAAUGAAAUAUGCCUGCCCUGGGGAGGUUAGAUUGAUUCUUGCCGGACCAACAGUUUGUAGUGAGAUGGGAUUGCUUGAGGUGCAUCCGUCAUAACUUGCCUUUGAAACUACGGCCACAUCGUGAGCCCCAGUUGCGAAGUUAAAAACUGCAACAAUUUACAAAGUUUCACUACUCAUUUAUCAAGACACUCAGAAUCCUAACCUGUAUCAUCAAACUGAACACAAAAAAAUUAAAAAAAAAAAAAAUCUGAUGCCAAUCAAGCAAGAAUUUUAUAUUAGUAGUUUCAUAGCAGCAUCGAUCCAUUUCUAAGUCCAACAAAAACAAAAUCAAGAAAAGCUGCUAAAAAAAUCUAUUCAGGGUUCAGCGUGCCCUGCGACAAAGAUGUAGGGGCAGGGUACAUAAAUAUCUCGUACGUACCUAAGAUAUCACCAACUUUGAAGGUCUGUUGAGAAGCCCAGUUGGGAUAGACCGAAGAACCGGAGGGGACUGUCCAGCCCAAGCUGUCCCCGACCACAUGAGUUGCCGCAUCGGUGUUUCCUAGAAUAGCAGCGGCUAGAAUUACCAAAAGUGGCACUGCUGCAAAGGUGGUACUUGCAGCCAUACUUUCCUCUAGCUAGAGGGGCUACUUAUGUGUUCUCAAGUCGACCCCUGCCUGAAGCUUUCUAAGCUUUUGCUAAUUGUGGGAUCCUGCUCAAGCGUUCAAGAACCCUUCCGUUUCAACCAGGGAAAUCAAAUAUAAUAGAUUAUAGAGAGAGAGAGAGAGAGAGAGGAAACACAAAAGAAAAGGACGUGCGAUGAGUAGGAUGAGUUUUCCUUGGAAGUGUGUGUGGGAGGAAGAGGAUAUAGCCAUAUAGGGGGUUUCAAAAGGAUAGAUUCCACGUGGAGUGGUAAUAGUGCGUCAGUGGUAGCUAGGGAUUGGCUAUUGAAUUGAUGAGCAGUUGCUGAACGACUACCCGCAUCAGCAAUUCAGCAAACGGUAGAAACACUGUAGGAGAUUUUUGGUCCAACUAGUGGUCUUCCAACUCAACUGUUCAUCGUUCGGUGCGUUGGAAAAUGCUUUGCCCACAAACAUUGCAAAAGAGGCCUUUGAUUUUUCAAGCGCCUAAUGAAUGUCGGGCGGUGUUAGUGUCAUAAUCUAUAAAUUUUGCUAAUUCUUGAAUAAAAUGCGAAGCUUGUCUUUAUUCAAGUCAAAAUGAAACGUAGAUUGAAAAGAAGUCAAAAUUCGGACCGUGAUAAUAUCAUCAUCAUUGGCGAAUGCACACGCGUGUCCGAUCUUCACAGGCGUGGUGGAGUUGCUCUUACCAAAAAUAUCAACCGCGGAUAUGGUCGUGCAAAUUCAAGAAGUAUUCCUGGGUGGAGAACGGAAUACAUAGCUGAUGGGCAUGGCUGUAGCCUGUAAUGAAGGGGUACGAGAGUACUGUAUUUUCACCGGGAAGCGUGACUUUUCUAGUAUUUGGAGUUAGUCUACCGUCGGUCGGCAUUCCUUUAUGAAAGUGGUGAUCAAGGCCCACCACGCGUUUUUGCUGCUUCAAACUUUAGAAGUCAGCACAGACCGACCGCUUUCUACGCAAUAUUGUAUAACCUAUCAAUUUUAGCAUAGUUAUUAAACACAACCCGGGAGGGAACCCGGUGAGCGAGGUGGGUCAACGGGUUACUGGUUUAACCAGUAGGUGAGAGGUUGAACCGGUGGGUCACUAAAUAUAUUUAAAUAUUAUAAUUCAUAAUUUUAAAUAUAAGAUAUAAGAUAUAAAUUGUAAUAACUAAUGUCAUAGCAAAUACUCAUAUAAUUUAAUUUGCUAUAAAAUAAUUAAUUCAUAUAAGAAUCAAUAAAAUAUAAAAUUAUUUAGUAAUACACCAAAUUUUAAGUAUAAAAUUUUAUCUAUAUUCAGUGUAAUUAUCUAACUUAUUUAUAAGUUUUAAGUGCAAAAAAAUAUUAAAAAUAAUAUUUGUCUUUAAAAUGAAUUAUGUAAUAUGUUAUUUUUGAAGUCUAUUUUAUAACUUAUAGAGUUUGGGGGUCAUAAAUUUUUAUUAAAAGAUUCCAAAUAAAUUUGUUUUAGAGAAAUGAAAAAAAGAUAAAAUUGAAAAAGGUUUAUAUAUUAUAAGUAAGAAAUCUUAGCACCAUAUUGUGAAGUAGCUUGGUGGUGUCUGCGUUGUAGCAAUGCUCAUAUGUCCAAUGUUCGAAUCCCAUCAAAGGCAUAAAUUUUUUCUCAGGAACCCGGUUUGUAGACAAAACCGGCCGGGUUUCCGGUUUAAACCGGUCAAACCGCCGGUCCGUUGACUAGAAUGCUCAUAUGUCCAAUGUUCGAAUCCCAUCAAAGGCAUAAAUUUUUUCUCAGGAACCCGGUUUGUAGACAAAAUCGGCCGGAUUUCCGGUUUAAUCCGGUCAAACCGCCGGUCCGUUGACUAGUCAACGGGUUGAUUGCUUAAACGAUCUAACUCAAAAUCCAGUCCGGUCCAAUGUCCGGUUCACCGGUUUGACUGAUUCGACUGCCGGACCGAGCCGGGUUUAAUAACUAUGAAUUUUAGACUAGAGAAAAAGGAGAGUCCGAAGAGUCUUUGUGCAGAUACAUAAAUUUUACUAGAUUAAAGAAGUAUUUUGUCAUAAUUUUUAAAUUUUUUUUACUAUAAAUGGGAUCUAAACCCUCACUAAUAGUCCAAGCAGGAUUUUAAAACCCAAGCUCAGUGAUUACCGCUUUCUACAGUUGAAAUGUCGACCAAUUUAGCUUAUGGUUCUGAACACUGAACUACGAGAAGAUAAGAGUCUGUUAUCCCUUUGAAAUGUCAGCAAAAUCUAAUGGCUUAAGGGUCACCAUUUGUCCCGAAGAUGGUUGGCUGAGGAGCCCCUCUUCGCUUCCUUUUUGUUUGGCAGGGAGUCGUUUCAUAUCGGACGCGGGGUUGGAACGGUUGUCAGAACAACAGCUCCUGAAGGUGUAACAUUAUUUAUACAUGAUGUAACAUCAUUUGUACAAAGUGUAAUAAUAGAAUAAUAGCGAGUAACACUAGAACAACAUUUUUGUGAGUCCCACACGACGUGAAAAUCGAAUUACAAGACGUGAUUUGAACCGCACAAAAUUUUGAGACCUCAUCCAGACCGUGAACUGCCUGGGACGGUUGUCUCUGGACGAGGGGCCCUCGUCCUUUCAUAUCAUACAAUAUGAGCCUAGUGAAACAAAUCUAAACACAUCAAUAUAUAAUAAAUAUUAAUUUUUUUUCGCAACAGCGACAAUCCACCGCACUACUGAUUUUUUUUUUUUUAUUGUUUUAUACGGAAUCUUUUUGUUUCGUAUGGAGUCGUUUCAUAUAAUAUGAGUCUAGUAAGAAAAUCUAAAUAAAUCAAUACGUGACAAAUAAAAUUUUUGCUUUUUUUGCAAUGGCAACAAUCUAGUGCACUGCUGUACUUCCUUAUCAUUUCAUGCAAUAUGAGCUUAGUUAGUAAGAAAAAUCUAAAUACAUCAACACAUAACAAAUAUAACUUUUUUUUUUCAAACCAUGACAAUUAAGUGGACUGUUAUACUUCCUUGUGAUGCAUUAAACAGACUAUUAUACUUUUUAGUUUUUAUGAUGCACUAGACAUUAUUUAAAUCUCACACCUAGGGCGCCGGAGAGAUUUAAAGUGACUCUCCUAGACCAUUGACCAUUGACCAUUGGACCAACUCCCAAUGGUUACGUAACAACCAUUAACGUGAAGUAUUAAACUGAACGAAGAAAACCUUCAAGUCCAAUUUCUUGAUAUACAUAUCAUUGUAAGCCAAUUGACGAGUGACUUGGGUAGUGUUUUCUCUGGCAAUGACCAAAAGCCAUAAAAGAUGUACAGUCCACAUCCAUGAAGGAACCAAGAAAUACAAAUCGGGCAUGCCAUCAAGUUGGAGGCGCUGAGGCCAUGCCUUUAUGCGCGGCGGGCCGGGGAGCCAAGCUUGGUGGGGGUGAAAAGAUGUUUGUUCUCCCCCCCGGCGGCGGGGGCGGGUUUUUUUAUUCGAAUUGGCGCAGUGAAAUUAAUGGCAUUUUCCAUCCUAUAGAAAAAGAUCUUCUUUUUAUUUCUUUAUUUGAAAAAAUAAAAGUAAAAAGUGAUGACAUCUGAAGCUUUAGCCUUUAAGCAUUUUUUUUUAAAAAAAAAUUAUUUUAUAGUUGUUUAAAGCGGAAAUUGAGAACUGCAAAAACAAAUUCUAUAGGAGAAAAAGUGCUCCUACAAUGGAAAAUUAGUGAGGGCAAUUCUGCUUGCAUCCUUUAAAGUUUGUACAACUACAGGAGUCUACUUUGUGUGUCCCAAGUACUACGUUGAAAUCCCUAUUAUUUGUUUGACAUUAUGGUUGAAAAAGUAAUGGAUAUAUUUUCGUUGGAAUUACGUGGUGUCAAGAUAAUCUUGAAGUAAUGGAACAUCUUAAGAUAAGAUAUAUCAACAUGGAGAAGGAGGCUUAGAAAAAUGGGGCUUCAAAAAUUCGGAGGAAUUGUUGUAUUUUUGGCUAAAAUAAUCUACUUUUUAAAAAAUAAUUUCAAAGUAAUGCUCUUUUAGUUAUUCCUUUAUUAAUUUAAUUAUUGCCAUGUAGACUCUACAUCAACGGAAAAAAAUUACUUGUAAAUCUUUUGUUUAAAUAUUACAUAGUUUUUCUUUAUUUAGUGCCUUAAGGACAUCCUGUCAACAAAUUAAAAAAUGAAAGUGAAUCUAUAAUUAGUGUUUUUAAAAUUGUUAAUCACCCUCCAAAUUGCAAUGAUUUUGCCAAAGAACCUUUUUUUUUUCAUUAAACACGUACAGAGGAAUUAAAUACGCCAUUAGCUAUCAAAACUAGCUUUUGGGGUACGAUCAAAAGGUCUCCUUUCCAAUAGAAACUCGACGCUCUUCUUCCCCGGGGUCCACCUUUCUAUGCAGAUGGCAAUUGAGGAAACUGCCGACACCUUCCAAUUAGAAUAAAGGCAUAUUUUUACUUUGUAGAGAAUUUUAGAAAAAAAAGUUGUACCAGGUGGAAUAAUUCACCCACUAUUUAUUUCCCAUAAAAGAAAGACAAGAAGAGGCCGUUCACAUCUAUUUCCUAAUCAUCUCCAACCACCACAAGUCAAGAUGAAAUUAUUUUUGGAGAUCCAUAUGUAUAUAUUUAUGCUGCUCUCUUUUUGGCAAAAAAGGAAAGAUUACACCAAUUAUUUCUCACAUAUUAUUGAUGAUAAAUUUAGUUCAUCAAAUUUAAAAUCACCAAUUUUAGUUCCUAAUAAAUAAAACCCACAUAUUUUUUAUGUGUGGUCAGUAUUUAAAAGGCAACUCUGAUAACUCACUUAAUGUUAACUUAAAAUUUUCACUUAAUCUAUUUAUUUCUCCUAAUUUUUCUUCACUCAAACCCUUAUUUGACAAAUCCAAAAAUAUAUACACACACCUCCCACUCUUACUAUCAUCUUCCCUACUAUUCCCACUUUCACUUGCUGUCACAUUUGAUCUCUUCUCACUCCUUUCUUGCCACCGCUUUCUCUUCUAUCUCUCUCUUCUUUAGUUUUCUCCUCCUUUUCCCUGCUGAUAGGUUGCAUUUUAGUGGGUAUUUUGGGCAUUAUUGCAUAAUUAUUUGACUAAAUAUUUUCGUUAAUUGGGUGGAUUCUACUGAUAUUUUGUUUUGGUGCUAAUUGCAGGGAUGGUUGCUGAAAAGUGCUUAAAUUCAACUUUUAGAAGAUUCAUCGGACGUGGGGCCCAUUUGAAAAGUUAAAGAAACCUAAUUGUAAUAGAUUUUAUUUUAAUAUAUUCCUAGGGAGUCUGGCUGCAGUUUUGGGGACAAGUAACAAUUUCCGGCUAUUGGGAAUACUAUUUAUCUCUCGCGCGGCUUGGGUUAGAAGGGGGUUCUUUUUCUCUUUGUUUUGGUUCUUCUUUGGCUCUGGGAGGAGACAAAACAGCCGCAGCUUUGUAGGGAGAAAGGAAUAGCCACUUUUGUUGACUUUGGGGAUUCUAUGAACUAUUGAUUUGUUCUGUGACCAAAUUGAGAAGUGAAAAAACAAUUGCAAUCUUCCAAUCUCUCGUAUGUUUUCUUGCGUGAGAGAAGAGAGAAAGUAAAAGUGAGCCGCAAUCGUGGACUUUGGUCAUUGCUUUUCAUUCUGGCUUUGACCGAAGGAAAUUGAAGCAAUCGUAAUCCAUUGUCGCUCUUUUCUCUCUUCGGUUGACCGAAGUGUACGAAGGUCAAGUCUUCCGUUUGCCUAGAUUAAAGAAUUGACGGCUUCCUCCAGCUUUGCCGCAUGGCCUGUACUCCAAUUAUGAGGAGCUAAUUCUUCAAUUCUAGUCAAGGGGACAACUGACGAUUUGGUUCAGAAAUUACUGUGAGAUCGAAUUUAUUUUAACUAUUUCCUUCAUUUAUUAAUAUUUAUAUAUUUCCUGUUUUUAAGUGUUAUAGCCGUAUGUAUGAUUGAUUAGUGCGCAAUAAUUAAUUGUUCAUAUAGGCUAUUUUGCUAUAUAGGGGUGAUUGAAUCCGUAAUUGUUCGUUACUUCUAUUCCAGUAGCAACUGGCACAAUUGGAUUUGUGUCAGGGAAAUAUUUGAUCUGGCUUGAAUGAACCCUCGUAGCGUGUUUGUUAGUCAGGAUUGGGCCUUUCUAAUUACUAAUGCAAUCUAGAAAUUGAAUCCUACGGUCGUACCUAGGGUUGUUUUUGGGUUAGAGAAAUAGCUAACGGUCGUACCUUAGCUAUCGAUAAAUUAAGGAAGGGUUGGUUGUUUAGCGCGUGCGAGACAACUAGAACCAAUCUAUUAAUAAAGGUUGGAAUUAUUUUUUGCAUCAAUGAUCAGUGCAUGAACCAUUUCUGAAGUAUACCCUUGGCUAGAGUUUCUCUUAGUUAUUUCUUUUAAUUAAUUAGUUUCUGCAUUUAAUUUGUUCAGUUGGCUUUUGAUACCAAAACCCCCCCAUUAAUCUUGAUUUGAAAAGAAACAAAUAUUUCUCCAGUCCCUGAGGAGACGACCCUGCUUGCCACUGUCUGCUAGUUAGGGAGUUCAGUUAAAUAAUUAAUUCAGGUAUAUCGGAUUAAGCAAACUCUUCGGGAACAGGGUGAAUCAAGUAACCCAUUGCACACCUAGAGUCCCUGCUCCAGUACUCGAAUUGAUUAUUAGCUGUUUCAGGUGGUAGUUAGGAUUUAUUUAUUAUUAUUGCACAGGUUCGGCACCUGUCACCUGCUUAUUUUUCUCCGACCACUACUCAUUCUGCCACCUCUUCUUAUUUUCUUCCCUCCUCUUUCUUUCCUAUUCUCUUCUCCUUUACUUUCCCAUUAUUCCUUGCUUUCUCUUUUCUUCUUUCUCUUCUUCUUCUUAACUUUUGUCUCUCCAUACUCCCCUUUUUCCCAGCGAUUUGGUUGUGUUCCAAGUGAGGGAAAGAGAGAGGCACUAGAGAAGGAGAAAGGGGAAAAAAGAGUGGCAGAGGAAAAAAAUAAGACAGAAGAAUGAUAAAGUGGGAGAAGAAGAGAAGAAUAGAGGGAGAAAAAGAAUAGGUGGUAGGAGAAGGAGUGAAAGAGAAUCAAGAGUGCUGAUGGAAGUAAAACGGUGGUGAAAGAUGAAAAUGGAUGUAUGUAUUUUCAGGUUUGUGAAAUUAGGGUUUAGAUGGAGAAGAAUUUAGAAAAAUGAUAGAUUAAGGUUUUGUUUGAUAAAACUGAAUCUGAAUUUUGAAGUUUGAAUUCUGAAAUCUGAAUACUGAAACAAUUAAUUUGCUGAAUUUUAAGCACUGGAAAAAUAUAUGAAUGUUUGAAUUUUAAUGCUAAACUUAUUUAUACCGUUUGAUAAAUAUUUAUAGCUGAAUGCUUAAUAAGUUUAAUUUAACAAUUUUGCUCUUAUAUCAUUUCAUUCAAAAAAGAAAUAGAAUCUAUUAGUUUAAAAUUGUUAGGUAUGAAAAUGAUAAUAUUUAUUUUUGAAUCAAAUUAAUAUAAAAGAUGAAAUAUAUUAUAUAAGGAGUAUGGAGAAGAUGUGAAAGUCAUUAAAAAGGGAGAAAAGAGAAACUAAAAAUUGUUAAAUAGAGAAUAUUAUGUUGUUUAAUUAGAUAAGAAUUUUGAAAAUAAUUAACAAACAAGGAUAGAUUUGGUAGAUAAGAUAAGGUAGUUGAAAUAAUUUUAUUGAUUCUUAUCAGAAUUAAGCAUUCAAUUAGGAUUCCUGUACUGAAAAAAAUACACACAGGUUCAGCACUGCUUAACAAAUUCAGCAAAUAGAUUUUCAUUUAUCAAACACUCAAAACAUCUGAAUGUCUGAAAAAAUUCAGAUUCGACACUUUUUUAUGUUAUCAAACAGACCCUAAGUCAACAAUUGUAUUAAGUAAAUUGUCUGAUUUGGCAUUUAAAUAUUGACCAUGUGAAAUGUUCUAACUUAUUUCGGCCAAAAUUUGACUUGGAAGGCAACAAAAGACCAAAAAAAGUAUUUUAGUCCUAACAAAUAAAAAUUACUUUUUUAAAUCCCUAUAGAAAAUUUUGGUAAAUUUUCUAUAGGGAUCACUAAUACGACGAAAAUAAAAUAAAGAAUGGUUUGGUUAACAGGUGCCUAAUGAGCCGCCGUUAAGAGGGGUCUUAAGUAUUACUUUCUAGAGGGGUUUCAAGUAUUAGUUCUUUAGAUAAAUUUAGAGGUUUUUGUUUAAUGAUUAAGAUUGAAACUUUAGAAUUUAAAGGUUCUGGAUUCAUACCCCUAUUUUUCCUCCUCAUUCCUUAAAUCUCACCAUUCUCCCAUUUAAAUUUUUUAAAAAUGUAAUUAAUUUAAGAAAGUAUAUAAAUGCAGGGGUAUAAUAAUUAUGAUUGUGUUCACCCCUCCCCUUUUUUUAAAAAAAUUAAAAUAUAAUUAAUUUGAGAAAGUAUAUAAAUGUAGGGGUAUAAUAAUUGUGAUUGUGUAUAUUCAUAUUACAGCUUAAGUGUAAUCUAGAUGUGCUAACAAAUGCCCACUAAAGAACUAGAAAAAUUAAACAAAAAAGUCUUUGAUUCAUUUUGGAAAAUUAAAAUCAUAGGUUUCAUAUUUGCAUUCAAAUUGAAGAAGGCCCAUCAAAUAAAGGCCGUUAUUAGCGAAUCCAUGCUGGAUCUAAACUUGACCUUGUCUUUUUCCUUUCAAUAAAUCUUUGAUAAUGUUAUAGGUGUCAAAUAAAUCCAUUUAACUAAAUUUAUUCAUAUUCAUCCAUGAAUAGAUGGGUAUAGAUAUUUUAAAUUUUUAUAUAUGGGUAUAAAUAUGUUAUCCAAUAAUACCUAUUUAAUAAAUGGGUAUAAUGCCCAAUAAUACCCAAAACCUUAAACUCAUUUAAUAAAUAAGUAUAAUUGAGUAACCAACCAAAUAUAAUUAACCCAUUUAGAAUUAUUUUUACAAUCACAUCCAUUUAGAAUUGUCUUCAGCAAUAAUAUCCUAAUUUCUUUAUCACCUUUGACCAAAGGUAGCAUCAAAAAGUGGAGAACCAAACGGAAAGGUGGGAAAAUAUGUUAGCCAAUUUUUAACUAAAAGAAUAACUAUGCACUUGGAGAUUUUUCUGUCCUGUUUUCAUUUGUAUUUUCCUAGUAUCCAGUUUCAAGUUCAUAAGUUGGUCAAUCAUUGUUUAAUCUGUCUUUUUCAUGGUUCCAAAUCCUUUCCCUAUUGCACAACAAAUUAUUCAAUUAUUAAAUAGUAUUUAAUUUUGUCACACAGCACAUAGAUGGAAAAAAUGUUGGUAAUUAGAUUUAUCGGGCAUUAUAAGUAAAUAUUUUAAAAUUAAUGAUCGGUACAAACUGCAAAUGGUGGUAUCAAUUGAUAAUUUAGUGUAUAAAAUAAAUUUAGAUGAGUUUGUAAAAAGUUAAAAUAAAUGAAUUGUAAAUGAAUAAUUGGACUACUAACUCAUUUUUUUAUUUAUUCACUUAUAUGAAUAUCCAUCUAAUUAAAUGAGUAUAAAUGGAUUGACUCACUUAUAUCCAUUACCCAUUUUAACCCGUCCAGGUUACCCAUUUUGAUUGAUAAUCAGCUCUCUUUUUCUCACCUUUUUUGGUUCCUUGCGUACCAAAGUUGGAAGACAAAAGGAGAAUCAAAAAGGAAAAUGGAAAACCUCAAGAAUGCAAACCAAUAAUGCUAGAAAGUUUCUUCUUGAAGUUAUGGGUCAAAUUUGGUUCCUUUUUAGCCUGCCUCAAUCACCAGGAUCAUUGUCGGCUUUACACUUUGCUGAACAACCGGAUGGCACUCAGAAAUCAGUAGACUCUCGAAGCAUCGGAUGCCCAUACAAAGGAAAGCGAGUGAUUCAGAUCCCAUAUUCCUUUGGAUAAAAUAUCAAUUAACAUAGCAAAACUUAUUUGGUCAAGGCUCCGAUUUAUAUCAAUUUCGAGCCCCAGCGAAAAGGGUAACACACUCAAGUCAAUUCGGAGACGGCAAUUAUCGGAUGGAAGAGAAGACAAUUACGUCAAGUCCCCGUUAAUAUCAUCAAUCCAUAGAUGUGGCAAAACUUCAAAGUCGCCGUUCUACGACCGACAUUGCCGUUCCCAUAAUCCGGACAACCGCGUUUAAGAGUCCGAAGCCAGAUAAAUCCCAAAAGCCAGUCAACCAUUUUUGUCUUUUCAAGCACAGGGUACUAAGUUUAACUCAUUAUCCAGAUUAACCGGAAAAAAAAAAAAUAUAUAUAUAUAUAUAUAUAUAUAUAUAUAAUAAUAAUUAGGAGAUUUUUAAUUGAACUACAUAGACAAGAUAUCAGACACCAAGUUUAUUGGACAUAGACAUGUAUACGUUGGCCAAACAAAUACUCCAAACGAUCAGCAACUUCGAAAGAAAAAAGAGGAAAAAGAAGUAAUAUGUUCUUUUAAUGCACUGAACGUGACAUUUGAUGGUAGCUGAUCUACAGGUAUAAAGAUUUUUCCUACUGCUAAUCUGGUGUGAAAAUUCAAAGCAUUGGCCCCCAAGCGAGAAAAAAAAAAAUGGUGGUGUAGUUUUAUUCCAUUCAUCCACCCACUUACAAAAUCAAAAGAAAGACUACACUUGAGACUGCUAAUACCAACGUUUUGGACCCAAACCUCCUUCCACCUUGGAUUUCCUGAAACAUUGCACGUCAUCAGAUUUAAUAUUGAUAGGAGGAUAAACUAUGAAUCAAUCAAAACUAUAGAAACAUGACAAGGACUUAAAAAAUCUCUUGCUCAAGUCUCUGGCUGACGGAGGGAAAAAAGAAAAAGAAAAAGCCCAUCACUUUGAACCAAACAUUGAAUUGUAUAGCAUAUGCUGGUGAUACCCAAGAACUGAAAACGCAGAAAGAAACAUUUGAAAACAUAACCCUUUAUCUUGCUAAGAUGAAUUGAGACAAGUUGCCCAAAUGAUAAUUUUUCAUGCUACUUUUAAAAAAUUAGAGCUGCAUAAUCUUUGCUCCAACGCCAGGCGAAAGCUGUGGCUUAUAAUGUCAGUGAGAGAGUAGGACACUGAAUUGACAGUUCGAGAAGUCAAGAACAACACAAACUCAAGACGACAAUGAGUGACAAUUUUACCUCCAUUUCACAUGCAUCUGCAUAAACUAGAGGAUUCCAGGAAACAACAAAAAAUUUUGCCUUUCCAGUUAAAUUGAGGUAAUGUUUAACUUAAGAAUUGACUAAAAUGGCCGGGAGUUCGUAAAACAUUAAGCUAAAAGCAGAUUACACAAUAAUUAGGUUGGUAGAUAGAUAAAAAUCCAUGGCUGGGUCAUAUAUCUGCCAUGCUCCCAUGCCUUGGCCCACACAUUAUAACAUUUAGACAAUUUAGAGUAUCAUAAAUUAUCUGAAGAACUCAGUUAUUUUGGGUGGUCAAGUAUAGAAGUUAGAGGUGAGGAAAGUAUUUAGAUAAUUUAGAUUAUGAUAACACCUCGGCCUUCAAAAAGCCUACCAGUACCAUCCAGCAAGCCCCUUUUCAUUUGCACAUACUUUCAAUCAAUAGACCUCCAAAAGGGGAUAGUGUUGCAAAAGUGUUCCACUUAAGGUUCAGCAUAUUACAAGUUAGCAUAGUAUUGAACAACAUGAUUAUUACGAAAUUGUUCAAGACCUUUUGAUCAGAAUUAAGUAGGUAUAUGAGAUAUCAAAAGAGUAUUGCUUACUCAUUACAAAAUUUAGUUAUGCAUUCAUGAAAAGAGGAAGUCAACGUCAACAUUGAGAACACUUGUCAAUAGGAAUUUUCCUUUUGCAAGGAUUUACAAAAAGUUCAACUCAUUAUAUCCGUAAAAAAAUGUAGGAACUGAAACCUUAAAAGACAAACCUUCAAAAUCCAUAAUUGAUUAUUCUUUCAAAUUAAACUUUGUGCAAAAUCACAUACUAAUAUUUAUAAAAGGUGCCAUCAACAUAUAAGCUCAUGAGAAUGAGAUGGUCGAGCAUAAGAAGUAUAAAAGACAGUUUGGUGGUGCUUUGAAUGAUAUCCAUUUUCAGGGAUUAAAAAAUUUACAAGACUUUCAAACUCAGAGGAUAUUGUUUGACAGAAUCACCUGAAAAAAAAACAUAUCCUAAGAAUCUUUAACUCUAGCCCAUGAAUUCUUGCAAAAAUUGCUUACAAUAACAUAUGAGACAAUAGCACCUAAAAAUUAACAUACUUCCUAGAUCCAGGAUAGGUUAGCAAACAUGAUUUAUUACACACCGAAUUUGCUAAGCUAAAAAAGAUGUUAUUCAAGGUUAACUCUUUCGGUCCUAGGCUUCAACAUCUUUUCUAGAAAACACCAGCCCCAUACCCUAACCCCAUACCUAAGAAUGAUCUUCUUAUCCAAAAUAGAAGCAAUAUAGUCUGUCAGAGCCAUAGCAUUUAGGUCAUCCUCUGAUUGCAUAUUUCUGUUGAAAUGUUUGUAAAUGGAAAUUUUAACACACAGUACGCUGAUAUCUCAGAGGAGAAAGACAAUUUUUUCUGUUCAAAGAUUUCAGAGUUGCAUAGCAAAAGAUGCACAAUUCGCCAAACAAACUGUUUUCAUGUUAUAGAGAAAACUGUUCCAAGACACUAUAGGGGCAUAGAAGUGGCUCCUUUGGUUCUUGCCCAAUUAAUGAUUUCCAGAAUUUGAAAGCAUAACAGGUGAUUUCCUUUCCUACAAGUGUUUUUAUCAAUAGAGAAAGGAUAUUUUUGCAAUUUCACAAUCUCUAAGAGAGUAAUAGGUAGUGUGGAAUCGCAGGGAUGCUGUUUUGUGAAAAGGUCAAAAUCUUUUUAGACAUCUUGAGAACUCAUAAGGGUAGAGAUUCUGCAAGCCAACAGUUGUUAUUACGUACUAGACUGGUUAAGAAAUGGUCAAGAAAUACCAGACCAGUAAAUAAAUGGUCAAGAAUGAUUUGAACUUCAGCACAUAUGUUAUCCUCAAACUCCUGAAUGCCUGAUUAGACAACCAAUAAGGGAGCUGGGUCUUCAUCCAACAAGCUUCUGCACCUCUGAAGUUAAAACGACCUACUAUCUUCAGUGCCCCAAGAAAAGCUAGAUCCCAUCUUCAUACUACUCCUUUAUUACCAUCAAUUGUUUCAUCAAACAAUUUCAAAGUUUUUACCCCAAUUCCGCAAAAAGGAUAUGCUAUGAGUGUAACUAUCAUAAUCCUAAAGAUAAUAAUUAAACAAAAUCCAAAGAAUUAUGUCAAAGUUUACGGAGAACACCAGAGAGGAGGCAAAGUUCAAGAGGUAUAGCCGAUAACUAAUCACAAUAAAGGCAUAUGAGGAUACCUUCAAAGAAACUGCAGAUGAAGAUUUAAGUCCAGGAAACCCAAUGUCAUAUGAAAUGCUCAUGUCAGGUUUGUAUAGUCCAUAGUUCUUCUCAGAAGCUGCACCAGGCUUUUGAUCUUCAUUAAACAACGCAAAAAUAUAUGCUUUCAACACAGUUUUUGGCCUCAAAGGUGUUCCCUUCUUCUUAGCAAGCCUUUUCCGCAAAUUAUAAUUGUAUGUCCUAGCAUUGUUUUGUGUGGCAGCGGGCUCAUUCUGGUCCCCUUGAGAAGCCCAUCCUGUCUCUGUAAUUAUAACUUCCAUCUUUUUAUACCCAGCAUCUUCUAAAGCAGCAUAAGCUGCAUCUAUCUGAGCAUCAAGCAAAUUAUCAUAAUGAAGGUUGGUUUUCUGAUCGUGUAUACCCUCAUUUGGCUGAAAGAGGGCAUAGUUUACAUCAAUUUUGUCCGAGGCAUAGGUGUAAGCCAGAAAGGGGUAAGCAUUUAGACAAAAAGGGGACUUGAUUUGAGAAAAAAAGUCCAAGAGCGGCUUCAUAUAUUGAGAAACACUCUCUUUGAAAGUACAGUUGGAAGGAGGGAAUGAAUUGUCGAAAACACCCGAAAAAUGAGCAGUGGAGAUCUGAACAAUAUCAUCUAUCCCCAACUUUUGGGUUGCAUUAUGGAGAUUUUUAACUGCACCCAGUAAAGAUCCCCAAAGAUCGGAAUUAGCACCAUUUCCCAGAAUUUCGUUACCAACAGCAAUCCCAACAAUACGCGUAUCAGGAAGAAAUGCCUUCACAUUAUCUUUGACCCAAGUCAAUGCGUGAUCUACGUUAGUACUCAUUUCCUUCACAUGGUCAUUAGGAAGUCCAAUUAUUAACUCAAGUCCAGUGCCACUAAAGCCCUGGAGAACACUAUGAUCCGCAUCAUAAAUUCUGACAUUCUUUAUCUUUGCUGCCCUAAGGAGUUUAGCAACUUUGUCUGGUGGAGGAAGGUUAUCUGCAAUUCUCCCGUAAUUGAUUCCAUAAGUUCCCGUGAAUGCUCUCACUGUGAGCUUUGCUGAAAUGAAAAACAAAGGAAACAGUUGUAACCAAGAAAGAAAACUGUCCGUGACACCAUGAACCUGAAUAGUUUGAAUACAAACUCAUACAUUUGCAAAGGCUUCGUCUUUCAACCCAGGAUACAGUCAGCAACAAACACAGAUUUAAAUUAGACCAAUGGCCAACAAAAGUUUACACAUAAUUAUAUAAGAUCUUUAAUCAAAUCGAACCAUAUUAUUACCAAACCCCCCCCCCCCAAGUCUCAAUACUAGUUACCAUUUCAACGGAGUCAAAUGCGCGCUCACACAACACACACAUUCCCAUAGGCCACCAAUGUCGCAAUUAGAUAGUUGUGGCACAAGAGUAGCAUAUGAAGAGUAAAUAUACUGCCCAAUCAACUGCUGAUAUCUUCUUAAGCGCACAGCUCAUAACAUGUGAAUCUAAAUUACGAGUGCCAUGCAGACAAUUUAGAACUUCAAAAUCAAUUGAAAGUUACAGACUUAAGUCGUACAAACAAAUAAUAAAUGAGAAGAAGAAGCAGCCAACUGAUGAAAUUUCACCAAGAAUAAAAACCAAUUUCCAAUUUAAAAAUGAAGAGAUUGGGAAAAGCAAACGAAAAAGAGUACUUAGUUUUCACCAGCAGCACCAGCAGGAUGGAAAAAAUACUGUUCUUUGGACUGAUCUUUAAAAAUUAGAAAUCAGAAAAAAGCAGAAGCAGAAAUCAAGAAUAAGAAAAGCUGUAAUCAAGAACAACUGAAGCGUACCAUUUCCGGUGAAAAGGUUGAAGGCCAAGAGCAGAGAAAUGAACCGCACGCAAAAUUGAAGGAUCCUCAUUGAGAUACGUAACCAAGAAACCCCAAUAGGACGCCCCCGCUGUUGUUGUCUUGUCCUGCUGCUGCUACUGAUGUUCUUUCAAUUGAACAAUCCUUCCUCCUACUACUCAACCAUGCCAUUAACCCACUACCAAAAUUUCAUUCCUUUUCUAAUUUUCGCUUUUCUUGACAAGCAGUACUAGUAUGGUGGCGCCAUCAAUAAUCAGUGCCGACCUUUUUUCUUAGCUCCAUCUUGUCUUGUCUUUUGGUUAGCUUUUCAACCAGACCCUUUUCACAUCCAACAAUAACUAAAAAAUAAAUCAGAUACUCCCAGAAAUAGUAGACUGAGCGGCGGCGGUGGCGGCGGGCGGCAGAGGGACACGGUGAUGGGUUUAGGGGUGGCUUUCUUUUCUCUAGUCUCGGCUGUUAGCCUGUUACUUUAAAUAAUUUUGGGUUUAAUAACUGAAUUUAAGUCGUGUGUACUCUCUGUAUUUGGAAUUUUGGUUGUGCUUUUUUCUUUUUGGUGACUGUCUGUAGCUUGAUAAUGGAGAUUAUUGAAGCUGUGCCAGAACAGUAUAAUAGACUUACUAUUUGAAUAUGUGAAUUGUCUGUGCGAAAAAGACUACUAAAACGCUGAUUCAAAACGAAAGAAAGGAAGACCAGUCCAGUCGAACUGUGUAUCCGUCUUGCCAUUUUUUUUAAUUAUAUAUUAUCCUUCAAGUGGCCACCACGCCCUUCCCACAAAGUCAUGUUGACAAGGCCCACUUUUGUUACUUUUUUUGUUUUCCUCGUUUUUUAGAGACAAAUAUACUCUUUUCAAGGGAAUAAAAUUCAGUGUUUUGAGGAGGAGAACUAACGGGAUUCUUUUAAUAUGAUUAUUAGUAAGUCACCCUUGGAAAAAUCAUUUGCAAUAAUAUAGCACUUUUUAUGAGAUCCUUAUAUUAUAUAAGACUGAAUUUUAGUCAAAAAAAUAGGUUGAAUUUCAACCGCAUAGGUGGGGGCUUUCUAAAAAUGUGAAAUAUUGUGUAUUAGUUUAAAACUUUUAGAUACAAAUUAAGGAAACAUAUAUUUGGGUAUGUUUACUGAAAUAACCCCAUUUUAAUAUAUUUAAAGUUGUCAUUGAUGAGCCAUCUGAGUAGAGGUGGCAAUAUGGAUAAAUGGUUCAUAAUUGGUUUUGACUUAAUGGAUGGUGGAUGAAAUUUAUCCAAUCCAUAUAGAUCCAUUUAAUAAAUGGAUCUAAAUGGAUGGAUCUAAAUGGAUUAAAUAAAAAUCAAUUAUCCAUUUAUAAUCCAUUUAAAUAUUUUGGUUACUUUGUUUUUGUAUUACCAUUUCUUGUAAUAUGAAUAGUUUUGAGAAAAAGCCGGAGUAUUUAUAAACACAAUAAUCUUGGACUAGUCUAAAUCGUGAAUUUCUGGACGUCCUAAUCACUUUUUUUCUCACCUUCAUUAAUUUGAUGUGGAUCUAUUCUGCAAGUUUCCGUUAAUAAUUCUACAGCAUCUGAGAUGUCAAUUAACAACCACAUGCCCCAAGUCUUCAGCGUGCAAAGGGCGUUGGAAAUUAGUUAUGUUUAAGUUGUUAAGAUUUUCCCACUCAAUCCUUCAUUCAACAGCUGUCACAUGUGGUCCUUCAUUCCCAGUUGGUUCUAGUUAGAGGGGUCUAUCCAUUUCUUUUAUUUGGUUUUUAGGGAAAUGGAUAUAUGUGGUUUUUGUGGAUAAUCCAUAUAAAUCCAUUUAAUAUAAUGGUUUUACUUGGGUCAAUCAUUUAAAACCAAUACCAUAAAUGGAUAAUCCAAAUCCAUUUAAUUAUGGAUUAUAUGGAUGGAUAAAUGGAUCUCAAUCCAAAUUGCCACCUCUACAUAUGAGUAUUGAUGGAAUGUGUAAUUAGUGUACAACCGUUUUUGCAUUUUGUACAACCUAUAUAUGCUUGUAUGUUGGUGUAAUUAUCAGAAUAUCCCUUAACUACCAAUAAUUUUCCUUUUCAGCCGCAGAUAAUCGUUUGAGAUGUUGCUUUAUCUGAAACGUUUGAAUGGCAAUGGGAUUUAGGAAAUGAGCCGACGAUUUCUCUAUCAAUGGUAGGAACUAAUUUCUCUAUCAUUUAUAAUCUGCAUUUAUGAGCCACAAACGUUCGUCAAUUUAUCCUCUUUCGAUUUCAGGAGUUAAGUUUUUCUUUUUUGUCUUUGUCUACAACGAUUUGCCUCAUCAUUUUCUCUUUCAUCCGAAUUUAACUCUGAAAUUACCUAUUAUCUCAUUAUUAAUUACACCCAAUUCAAUUGUCAAACCAUUGGUAUGUUAAUGUCCAAAUUAAGGAAACAUAUAUUUGGGUAUGUUUACUGAAAUAACUCCAUUUUAAUAUAUUUAAAGUUGUCAUUGAUGAGCCAUCUGGGUAUUGAUGGAAUAUGUAAUUAGUAUACAGCCGUUUUUGCAUUUUGUACAACCUAUAUAUGCUUGUAUGUUGGUAUAAUUACCAGAAUAUCCCUUAACUACCAAUAAUUUUCCUUUUCAGCCAUAGAUAAUCGUUUGAGAUGUUGCUUUGUUUGAAACGUUUGAAUGGCAAUGGGAUUUAGAAAAUGAGCCAACGAUUUCUCUAUCAAUGGUAGGAACUAAUUUCUCUAUCAUUUAUAAUCUGCAUUUAUGAGCCACAAACGUUCGUCAAUUUAUCAUCUUUCGGUUUCAAGAGUUAAGUUUUUCUUUUUUGUCUUUGUCUACAACGAUUUGCCUUAUCGUUUUCUCUUUCAUCCGAGUUCAAUUCUGAAAUUACCUAUUAUCUCGUUAUUAAUUACACCCAAUUCAAUUGCCAAACCAUUGGUAUGUUAAUGCCUAAACGGUUGAUUAUCAGUUUCUCCCUGUUCGCAUUCUAAGAUUGGAAAAAUUCUACCUAGCUUCAUACUAAUCAGCUCAAAAUGCUCUUCAGUCCCAGCUACUCCUGUUGGUUCAGCGUGAGGUUAGAUUUCACCCCCCCAUUUUUCAGUUCCUCCAUUAAUUUUGUCGGUAUGUUCUUAGUACUUACAAUUAGCGACUCUUAUCGCGUUGCCUAAUUGCAAGAUAGCAUUUUUCGCUUUACCUAACCCCAAUUGGUUUGGGUUGAUUAUAAUCUUAUAGGUUUGGAGAAACAGCAAUAAAGAUCUCUCGGUGGGGAUUUUAGAAAAAUGUUAGUUUUUUGUGUUGCUCUGCCUUUCUGCAUUAUCAACGACCUUCAAUUUCACAUAGUUUUAUUGUAACACUGUGUGAAUUGAUUGAUUAUAUCGUUUAUCUUUUCAUAUUAAGUUUUAUUUCUUCUCACAAUGUACUAUUGUUUGUUCAACAAAAAAAUCAUAUUGAGUUUGUUUGUGCUAACUUGGGGAACCAAAAUCAGAGCAGAUAUCAUGGAAAUCACUUAUUAAUUGCAGACCGUAAAUGGAAGGCACUAAACACCCGCGCAUUGUGCGAGCACUCCGCCUAGUUAUGUCUAUGAAAUAAUAAGAAGGUAUGCAUUUAUAAUGCAACUAAAUAAUGUUUUUUGCAAAUAAUUCUUGAUCCAAACACACUUAUAAAAUUAUAACUGGCCAUUAUUAUAGGUAAUAACUCACAAAUAGUAGAAUGAAAACUAACAUGUAGUUAUUAGAAUACACUUAUAUUUAAUUCUUGAAAUAGAAUGAAAUCACGCCUCUUGUCCAAGUAAAAUAAUAAUUGGCAUGUAUGGAUAGGAGAUUAAUUGUCCAAGUAAUAUUUUUUGUGAUAUAAUAUAUAUGAGAUAAAAAGGACAUUUAAAAAUAUUAAAAAAAGUUAGUUAAAAAUAUGUUUAUGAUGCAAAUUAAAUAAUAGGAUUAAUUGUAAUUUAUCCCCUUAACAUUUAUUUUAUGUUACUUAACCUCCUGAGAGACAAAAUAUCCCUCUACUAAAUAAUUUGUUCCCAUAUUUUGUAUUGUCUUUUCUCUUUUUUUAAUUCCAGAUCGGUUUUAUUUUAUCAAAAUUUUAUUUCUAAGAAAAUAAUAAAUUUCUCUAAUUCCAAUUUAAGAAAAAAUUUUAUUCUAUUUCUUUAUAAUUACACUAUACACAGUUAAUUAUCCACUUUUACAAUCGCACAUUCAUUUGUCAACGCUAGACUUUUUCUCCUAUAAUGAGUUUUUUUAAAUUAAAAUCUCAUUUUUUGGCCUUUUUAAAAAAAUAAUCAAUUGAUAGUGUAUUCCUUAAUAUAUGCACUGAUCUUAUGCAAAACUUUACCCACCAUCAAUUAAAGUCGUCAAAACAAAAUCGCAGGUUAAAAUUCGAUGAUUAAAGGAAGUAGAUAGUUUGAAAAUUAAAAUUUAGCAUAAUAGAGAGGUAUUUUUGUCUUUUAGGAGUUUAAGUGAUCAUAAAAAAAAGGUUAGGGGGUAAAGUGAAAGUUAGGGUAAAUUUUGAGGAGAUAAAUUGUUAUUAAUCCUAAAUAAUAUUAGAAAAAAAUCCAUACUCCAUGAACAAAAUAAAGAGCAGGACGAAGAAUCAAACAGCCCACCUAUUAGCACGCGAAAUCCGAUAAACUACUCAAAUCUAAUCAAUCGAAAGAUGAUGGAAUAUGUUAAAGUUCAUAGAUGAUCCAUGGUGGAACUUGUUCGCUCAAUAGUAGGCUACAUUUUCCUCGAUUACCCUUUUUUUUCGGUUUGAUCGGGGAGAAUAAAGAUUUUACUUUAGCUUGACCUUAUACUAGUACGUAAGAUUUAUGUUUUUUUAGGGGAAAAUGUUUAUGUUUAAAAAAGAAAAGAAACAAAAAAGCUAUUACCAAACAAAUCCAAGCUGUUGGCUGGAUGGUGUUGAUCUGUGAAUCUCCCUUAAACUAGUCAUUGACUUGAUUUUUCGAUGACUUUUGAACGUUUCUAAUCUAAUUUAAUUGUGUGUGUGUUUCUACUGUCAAUGGUAAAAAACAAAUCCAAGCUCAAUUGAUUUACUUUAUGGAGCCCAACCGUCCACAAUCAAGUUGUGAGGACUGCAAUCAACCCUUUUUAAGUUUUAAUCAUUAGUCAUUGGACGAUUUGUAGAGUUCCUUAGGAGCUACGACAAACACAACGACUCCCCACUUUCCAUGGUGUAAUAAUAAACGCGACAGUGGUGACAGACACAAAUCCGAACCUCUAUAACUGGUUUGUAAAACUAUUUUUAUUAUCAUAUUUAGUAUAAGUUUAUAUAAUUUUAAUUGAAUCGUGAAUUGUAAUUAUAUGAUUUAUAAAUUUAAGCUUAUACCCAAAUUAUAUGAACUUAUAUAAAAAUUUAUAAGAAUUAUAACAAUUAAUUUUGAACCGGAGAAAAUUCAAGUUACACAACUAGAGAGGCGUAUUGUGUAUCUUUAAGGCAAGACUUUAUACAGUUUAAAGAAAUUUGUCUGAUUGAAAGGCUGAAAAGGGGCCCCACGAGUAGUUCGGGCAAGACUGAUAAGUCCAUCUUUACGGUAAGAUCCCGUGUCCGACCCUCGCUAUGAUAAAAUUGAUGGCAAUCUUGGGCACGGCUCUGCUGUCUUAGGGAAAUUAGUCUGACCAAAAAGGCUGAAACACCCCCUAAGUGAAAAAAAAAAAAAAAAAAGGCUGAAAAGGGGAUAAUACCACUAAUAAGACUGUACUAUGUUGUCAAUUUGUUGUCUCUGGGCUCCCACACCCACCAAGUCUAUCGAGCCUUGUGACUUGUGAGCCUAUGAUCCAAUUUCCAAACGGCAUUAUCAAUCGCCGUCCCCCACUGCCCCUUGCCCUGUCACAUGUGACAUGGCACGACAUUGACCUCGUCCCAUCCUUCCAAAGAGUCAUCUUCGUCUCGCCUUCCGUGAAUUUUGAUUUACCAAGUUGCCAACGACUGCCAAUGCAAUUUCGCAACUGGCUUUUCCUUUUUCCCACUAAUUAAUUAUUCAAAAUUAUAGCACCCCUUUUUAUUGUAUUGUUUAGGACUUUUGGAAAUAUUUGUUUUUUAAAAAAUAACAUUGUAAUACUCUUUUGCAACGUAAUAUAUAUAUAUAUAUAUAUAUGAUAAAAAAAUUAAAAAACAUAUAUACUAAGAGAGUACACUGCAAAUUUUUUUCAAAAAAAUUAUUAAAAAAAAAGAUCUUAGAGUUUUGCUCGAUUUCUUAAAGUUUCGUAGCUGUUUAUUGUAGCAGCAGUUCGGUAACUCUGGUUAAAAGCUAAAUAAAUGGAUAUAAUUAAAGGACCCCAAAAAAAAAAAAAAAAAAAAAAACUUACCAACACGAAUAAAGUAGUGGAAAAUUCGAAGAUAUAGGGUUUGCUUCUCUUGCUUGCAUGAAAUGGAAUGCGAUGUUUCCUAGUGAAGAGGCUGAGUCGAAAACCUUCGUCAGCAGACUACACUUUCAAGAAUUACGCAUGGGACACGUAACUCCAAUCCUACACGUUGCAGACAGAUCCUUCAUCGAUCCUUUUUGUUUGUGUAAAAGAUUCAAGAAUAUGCAAGUCAUUAUCGUCAAACCACUAAAACCUCCCGUACUCAAAAGUAGUAUUUCAAAGGAGAAAUUGAUAAAAAGAACAAUAGAAAAAGGUUAUCACAAUUGCAUGAUCUCAUCGUUUUGUCAAUUACAAUACCCGGAGACUUGCUCGAGAAAUUGGUUGACUUGGUUACGGAGUUUUUCCCACUUCCGUUCCUAGAUUUGGAAUAUCUUAGCUCCUAAGGUUCUAAUUAAGCUCCCAAUAUAGGAGGAAAAGGAGAGAAUGUAGGAGUAACAAACAAGAUUAGCGCGUCAGGCAACUUGAUUGUAUACAUAAUAAAAUAUUUGUGUUGAUUUUACGUGAUAGCUUGUCCUAGCUGCGAUCGAUCGCCUCAGACGAUAAUCUAAUUCUAUGAUCGUCGAUGUUCAAAUUUCCACAUUGAAUAAUCAUUUUAGUUGGCGCAGUUGGUACAAGUUGGCCAACCUCUAAAGUUUCAGUGGGGCAAUUACUUAGCACUAUGACUAGAGUUAUACUACUGUCUUAGCGUGGGUGUAUACUUUGUUUAGCUAUAGGGAGCAGUAAAGGGCUGCAUCUUCUUGCUAUAGUUUAAUUGUAAAAUUAAGGGUUAAAAACAAAAAUGUUCCCUGUGGCUGUGGUACACCUAAUACACAGAAAAAUCUCCCCGUGGUUUCAAAACAUACAAAACGAUACCCUCAUGUUUUGAACUAAAUUGUAAACUAGCAAAAUUCGUUAAACUUAACGGAAUCCGAUAAAUUUAACGGAAAAUUUAACGGAAUCUGGUAAACUUAACGAUAAAUUUAACGGAAUCCAAUAAAUUUAACAGUUGAGACCAUCAUUUUCGUUAACUUUUAACGAAUUCUGUUAGUUUACAAUUUAGUUCAAAACAUGAGGUGUCGUUUUGAAAUCACGGAUGACUUUUCUGUAUAUUAGGUAUAUCACAGGAGACUUUUUUAUUUUUAACCCUAAAAUUAAUCAUGCCUCUCCUUAAACAUACAUGUCAAACGCGUCUUUUUUUUUUUUUUUUGAUUAACGUAAGUAAGAGAUUCUAAACCUGAACCACCCACUUGUAAUUUCUUUCAACUUAUCAUCAAACUUAACCGUCCCACCACCAAAAGGGGCAUCAUUUGGUGAAAGCAAAACUGAAAAAGAAUCCCACGGGUCUACCAAACAUUUUUGCGUUUUCGGACAUGAAGACAAGACGCCUUGGAAUAUCUAUUGGUGAAGCAUUAAUCAUAUCUGUUACCAUCGUCGCUUUAAACGUUGAUUGGAAUUAUUGGGUAAGCAAAAAAGGCAGGUGAUCUUGAAUUUCUAUACGUGUAAACAUAAGAUAAAAUAUUAGAACAGCCUUUCGCCAAAUCAAAGCAAAAAAAUGAAAAGAUAUGAUAUGAUAAAAUGCUCGGCUGGGUGGACGGGUACUUUAGCAGGCUCAAAGUUUUGCCAAUAUUAAUACAUAUUCCAUAAAGUGUAUCAGAUAAAACGAAAUGGAAAGUUGGAAGACCUUUUAAGCUGUCGAGCUUAGAAUGGUCCACUAGAUAAUUCCGCUUCCUUAAAGUUUUAACCACGAGGGGUGGAUGGAUGUAUAGCACUUUUGCUUUUGCGUCUCCAGCGAUGGACUUAUUAUGAUGGGCCGAAAAAGAUCCUUGAAAACUUUAUUGAAUAACGUCCGACUUUAAAGAAACGCCUUUAAUGCUGGCUACAGAAGAAUGGAGCUUUAAUUCAUGCAGUAAUACAUGAUUCUUCUUAAUAAAGUUGAUCCAGACACUUUCCCAGAAGCUGCUGACUGUCAUGGAAUACCCGGGUUUUCAAGAACUCCUACACCAGAACUAGGCCCAGCCCAGAACCUAAUAACACCGGUGACAUUGGCCGCUGAUGGGUUGAGACCUUCUCCAUUAUUUUUCUCUUUGUUUAUCUAUUCAUUUUUUUUAUACUUAUAUAACUAAUUUUUUGCGCAAUAAUUUGUUUGUCUCGAUAAUUUUAUUUUCACGAGUAGAUAAACAUAUUUAAAAAUCAAGCUCAUCCAUGAACGUUUUGUCAUUCAAUUUGCGCAAAAUACUUUCACGGUGUGAAAUGGGUCAAAAUUAUGAUAAAACUUGUAAAAUUUAAUUCAAUGGUACAAUUUCAUCAAUUUAAUUUCAAUUUUUUAAAAAAUGUAUAUUAUAAUUAUAUUUAUUCAUGUGUAAUGGAGAGAAAUUUCUCUCCAAUUGAUGAAGAGAACCCUAACCUGUUGCCGAUAACUCUAACAGUACAUAACUCUAACAAAAAAAAAAAAAGAUUACAAACGAAUUAGGCAUCCUUAAUUUUCUCAAAAUUUUCUUUUUCUUGGGGACAAGGCAAAGUUUCCACAUGCGAUGAAAAGUUUUUGAAGGACGAUAAUUGUACUAUAUUACGAUGGUUACUUCGAUGUUCAAUUUUUUUUUUUAAUAAAAAAGAAAGUGAUGCCACAGUUAGUUGUUCGUUCAUAUCAGCUUCACAAGAAUCACAGCUACAAGUAUGGGCUUUGAAGACAAAACACAUUUGUCCAAUAAUAAGUAAGGCCCAGUUUAGGUCCUAAAAAGGCUUAAAAGCCAUGGGUGUCGUAGACCAUUACCGUUUCCCGAGAAUUGCUUGAGACUACGCAUUUUUAUUCGGUGUGAGGAAUUUGUUUGUCUUAGUCUCGUUGUGGUUUUCACUUAUUCCACGUUUGGAGCCGUCCUUUGUUUUGUUAUUAUCAUGUUUUUAUUUGAAAGAGUAACUUCUUAAUAUUUUAAUACACAUCCAUUAAGUGAAUAUUUUAAAUUCAAAUGAUACAUAUAUAAUAAAGUCAUUAAUGCCAUCUCAUCUAAAUAUAAUGAUUACUAUAUUUUCAUAAAAAAGUUAAAUUCCCAAAAAAGAUUCCAAUAUUAGAACGGGAGGAGUAGAUAGAAUAUGCACCGUUUUUUGGUAGAUAAUGAAGUACUAAUAUUUACAAAGAAUAGGGGUUAAUUGGGUCUCCCCAAUUUAACCCGCUAAAUGUCUCCAAACAAAAAAUGAUCUAAUUUUGUCGGUGGUUAACUAUUGUAGAUUCGACGUCUAAAUUUGCUCGGAGAGGUGCGCGCACGGACACACAUAUUAAAGUCUAAUUUGAAAUCCAUGAGGCUGAGUCUUGCAAUUGGGCACGAAAGUGCAAACAUGAGGAAGCACUUCACACUAGGAAAUAGGAAUGGUAACGAGGCGGGGAAUCCUUCCCCUGCCCCUCCCUCACUCCGCUAUUCAAACAUUCCCCCUGCCCCCAUCGCUUGCUCCCUCGUCCCACCCCGCUUUCCUGUGGGGAUUACUAGAAAUUUGUCCUAUUAAGAAAAUUUAGCCAAAUUCUAGCUAACAAUCAAGUAUUUUAAACACUAACACAUCACCAAGUCAUUGUGAACAUAUAAUCCAUCGUAAUUUCACAAUAUUUAAUCCAAAAAAAAUAAACAAAUAUAUACGAUUUGAAUAUAAUCCAGCAUAAUGAGACAAAUAUAACUCAAGUAGCAAUAAAUAAAAGUGUAAUUAGUUAUGAAUUGCUGAUUGGGAAUGAGUGAAGAGUUGAGGAAGAAUGAAAUUAGGGUUAGUCGUGAAUUGUGAAAUGUUAAGUGUAAAAGAAUAAAAAUGUAAUUAGUAAUUUAGUAUAAAUGUAUUAGUAUAACUAAUCAGUAAUUUGUAUUAGUAAUAAUAUAUAAUUAUUAGUAUAACUAAUAAAAUUAAUUACAUUACAUAUACAAAAUCUGAUAUUUAUAACUAACAAUGUAGUUAUGAUAACUAAUAAUAUUGAAUAUUAUACAUAUAUAUGUAUUUUAGAUGGGUGACAGAACGGGUGUUUAAUCCCUCGUCCCCUGUCCAACAGAGGGAGAAAGUGAGCCCUUGCCUUAUCAUACAUGGCGAGAGCAUGCGCUACAAUUCCCAACCCUAUUUCACACUUGCUAUUCAAUAGAUUUAUACUCACCUCUAAAUUUAUACUUCACACUUGCUAUUCAAUAUCUUUUUGGAGUCAGAUUUUUUACAUUAACACCACAUAUAGCAACGUAUUUGAAUGCAUGUCACACGCGUAAAAGUUAUAAUUCAAAUUCAAAUCAAAAUCAAAUAGGAAUUGAUUAUCAUGCAUUCAGACCACCCUAUUUAUAUCAUGUUAGUAUAUAAAAAAAUUAUUUUCAUCUUUGCAGUGCAAAAAUAUAAGACAUAUAUAUUUUUUUUCCCUGAUAUAAGACAUAUACUUGAUAAUCCAAAGUUGAAAGCUGCCUCUUAUUUUGAUUGUCGUACAGGUUACAUUUUUUAUUAAAUGACUUUAAUGCCCUCGAACUCUUUAGUAAUGGUUCAGCUGACGCCAGACAGCAUAGCCUAGCAAGAAAUCUCGUAAUCUUAUCCUCUAUUUUUCCCAACGUCCAAAAUCGCCGCUAAAUCUGACUCUUUGCCACCGAAACAAACUGAAACAAAAGAUAAAAAAAGAGAAAAGAGUACUAGAAAGAGUGAAAAUGGCAAGGGUGCUGCUCUCAAAUGCAAAUAAUCUCCUCCCAUGCUUCCAAUCAUCAUCUUCCUCAACACCGUUAACAUCACUUUACCUUCACAAACAAAUCGUUAGGACUCAUCCCACCUCAUGCAAGUCAGCACUAUUGAAUCAAGAUUCUUCUUCUUCUUGUUCUGUUCUGACCACCAAGAGGAGCCUUUCCAUUAGCCUCACAACAGGGUUCCUCUUCUUUCUCUCUGGGAAAGGUUGUUCUGAUGCCAAUGCAGCUAUAUUAGAACCGGAUGAUGAUGAGGAGCUGUUGGAAAAGGUGAAGAAGGAUAGAAAGAAGAGGCUUGAGAGACAAGGUGUCCUCAAUUCAGCUGCUCAAGAGACAGGUCAACAAUCCUUCCCAAUAUUUCCUUGGAAUGUAGCCUCUAGAAAGUAUUUGCUACUUUGACUUUCGUGUCCUUUAGUUCUUUGACCUUGCUUCUUGAUUUUUUUUUUCUUUUGGUUUUUGGAUAAAGUUUCGAUUAUUCUUUUCUUUCCGUAAAGUUUUGAUUUUGUUUUCUAUAUCAGUUGAAUUGACACUGCAAGGUGAAGGGAUUAAAAGACUUUAGUCUUUAAGGCUAUGGUAAAGUUGGUUGGAGAUCGUUUAUGUUUUUCUAACACAGAUAAAUUGAGUUAACAAAUUAGUUUUCUCAUAGAUCAACAAAAAGUUGAAAUAUCCGUUUUUGCUGGUAAUUAGGCUGCUUUUGGAUGCCGCAUGAAGUCGAUUCCUCUUCGAAUUUAAGAGCCUUUUAUUGAAUCUUAGUCAUUCUUAUUGAAACAUUUCAUGUCAUUGCAAAACUCAAAAUUGGGGUCGGAAUGUGGAGAGACUUGAUUAUGGUUACUUUCAUAGGUGGUGAUUACAGUUUAGCCUGCAUUUGCUACUACCUCUUGGCAGUUGGCAAUCUGCAAGAAUCUCUUCAGCAAGUAUAGUUGUGAGAAUAAGGGAAUUACAAGCUUCUGCAGAAUCCUGACUUUUGUAACCUAAAUUUACGCUGUCGAACAUAGCAUAAUUUACACUGCAUAUUUCUCCAAGAUUUUACUGCAAUAAAACCAAUUUUGGAGGUACGAGGAUCGAAUUACCUUAAGUAAUUUGCUGGGCAGUAAAAAAGGAUAAUUUUUGUCCUAAAGGUCAGCUAUGAUCAUCUAUUGCAAAUAUUAUAUGCUUCCUGUUGGUUUCUCUGUGACCUUUUAUGGAUUGCAGAUUAGAAUGACUAGGAAAGUUCAGUAUGGAACAUUGGAGAAGAAUAAUUUGGGCUUACUAAAUCAAGCUUCAAGAAAAUUUUAAGUUACCAAAUGCUGUUUGCCUGCCCUAAGAUAAACAUAAAAGCUAAAACAAUUGCGUGUAAUUAAGAGGGAGCGGGGGAACCUAUUUGCCUUCCUAGAUUGCUUUUGGUUGGAAUUCACUUGUAUAUGGAAAUAAUUGGUUAGCACUGACAGAUAAACAUGAUAGAGAAAAGGUCAAGCCUGGCGACAGAGAUCCCUUAGUUAUUUAAUGUACCAGAUCUAUUUUGUUAAUGACUUAUACAAUAGUAGUGAUCUAGAAUCAACUUAUAUGAAUUACUGUCCCUUAUACGGAAAAUCUAGUUAGUUGAAGCCGUUUGGCAUAAGUGCUUUCACUCAUGAUGUAAGCACAAAUACUCAGAAACUUUUACCCCAGCUGAACUGGUUUCUCACUGGCUGGCAUGUAUCACCAGUGAACAUGAGAAAGCCUGGCUGUGUUUAACUAUGCAUUCUAAGAUCUAAUGGAUAGUUAUCAAUAGCAACCGUGCCACUCUUGGUUAUGUUACUAUCUUCAUGGAGUUGAAAAUUAUGAUCAAAGAUUACCGUUUGUGGGUUUACUUGUCCCUCAUGAAAGCAUGCACAUAAAUUUCAUUCAAGGGAUAGUGCUGUAUGCCAGUAAUAUUAUUAGCCAAGAUCUGAAUAGCUUUCAUAGUUCCUACAUCAGUCAACUGGAUUCUAUUAUUUGAUGUAAAUUUCCUUUUGCCCAUGCCCCUUGUAUUUUGUUUUAGCACAUAAUUGUGCUCCUAAUAUGCUUAUCUUCAUUCUUAGCUUGAAUUAAGUCCUUGGCGUGAAGUAAACUGAUGCCCUUAAAGCAUGACCUGAAUGUCGCAUUACGGUCUGAGCUUUUGGUCUCUGUCAUUUCUGGGAAUUGAUUAGCUAUUCUUUUUUAAUGCUGCAGGAUACUUGCAAGAGCUCGUUUACAAGCUCAGCAGAGUAGGCCAGGCAAUAGAGAAGAAUGAUCUUUCAACGGCUAGGUCAGUUCUUGGUCAAAGCAGUGAUACUGAUUGGGUACAAAAAGUUAACUCAGCUUUCAAGAAGGUAUCCCAUAGAUAAUAAUACUGUACAUGCCUUACUGUGUAGAUCUUGUCUAUAUGCAUUUACAUGCGUUAAUUGCCUAUCUUCCUGCAGUUGAGCUCUAGCCCUGAGGAGAAAUCCGAAGUAGAGACUUUUAGCUCCGCACUUGAUUCUUUAAUUUCAUCAGGUUUGUUCUGUGUGUUUGCAAGCGUGUUCAUCUUGGUUCCCACCAAAGGGUUGUGACUUGUGCAUGAAAACUAGUUUGCAUUGUGCAUGCAAUUAAUAUUGAGUGGUGAAAUAGUUUCAUUUGUUGCUCUGAGAGAGCAAUUGAUCUGUAAUUUGCAGUGACUAAGAAUGAUAUUGAAGCAUCUAAAACAGCAUUUGUGGCAUCAGCAUCUGCUUUUGAAAAAUGGACAACCCUAACAGGGUUGGUUGAAAAGCUUAAGGGGCUUUGAAGAAAAUCAAUCUGGCAAGAGAAUUCCAGCAAUUCCCCCAGAAUGCUUCACUAGCUUGCUUCUGGCUCUAACUCUAUCUGGUUGACUGCUGUCAUUAAUGAUCGCAAAAUUCUUUUAAUUCCAUGAGCUGUAUUAACUUCUCCAGCUUUGUAGUUAAGUGUUAAUGACAUUGAAAAUUUUGAUGUAAUUAUUCUUUGAAACCACCUCGACCACGCAAUUAAUUGAAUCAUUUCACAUAUUUGCGAUUCAAUGACCUUGGUUCUAUUGAAGUUGUUUCCUUUUUCUUUUGCCGUUGACUAAUUGGUGUUCGCCUCAACCUUGAACGGAAAUUUGGAAUAAAUGGCGCAUGUUGACAGUCACUACCUUUCUCUUUUGCAUGAUUAACUACGGGAUGGACCAUUUUUUUACAAAAGAUCGCGUAUUUAAAUUUUACGAUGCAAUGUAAGUUUUAUAUUAGUGGACCAUCCGUAAGAAUUCUUAUAUGCGGUGCGUCCUAAUCCAUGGUGACUACUAGGGUGGAACCAUCCAAAUUUUUUGUAUAUUUAAAAAAAAAAGUCUCAUCAAGUAGUAAUACCCCAAAAAAGUGGGGGACCAAUUCUUUUUGGGCACUCAGUCGCUAUGCAUCUCAUGGCCUUUUAACUAGCUCAACACUUUUCUGCAACGUUUAGACACCCAUCUCGCAUUGGUGUCAAAACUUUAACUGAAACAGCGAUGCUGACUGCCUGAAGAAGCUUGUCAAAGAGGAGCCAGCUCAUCUUAAUCACCUCAAAAAACUGCUGCAAAACAACUAACCUACUGAUAUCCGUAAGCUUGCGAGCCAAGGAAACUCGCGUUAACUGAAGAUGACUUAUUUUAUCAUUACAUAGACACAAUUCUGAUCGACAUGUUACAGAGAUCUAUGCAACCUACAAUUCCUUCAAUGCAAGGAAGGUUGGAAUGUUGAAGGCCUACUCUAUAAUGUAAGGUAGUAAUGUUACAAAGAUCUCAGUCACUACACGUUCAACGAAAGACAGCAGCGACAUUAACCUGCUAAUCUAUGAUUUUACAUACUACAGAUGUCUCGUGAACAAUCGGAGUAUCUAUUACUCAACAACAACACUACUGUCAUUCAAAAGAAGCCACCAGCCUAUGAAGGUCAGAACAAGAUAUUACAUAAACAGCAUUAUGUUUGAUAAAUUCAAGGCUUGGACUUGUCAACCUCUGCACGAUCGCCAUUCUGUAUCACACCACCCUCAGCCUUUUCGCUCACCAAGCUACUUUGCCCAUCAGCGCUCCUGUUUGCUUCACUAUUCUGAUCGACUUUCUCUUCUGCUUCCACUUCUUGCUUCUUUUCUUCAGCACCAGUUACCUGCUUGUCUCCUUCUCCAGUCCCAUCCUCUUUCUCUGCUUCGAUGGGUGGUAUUUGCUGUUGUUUUUCUUUGUCCUUGGCAUCUUCAGAGCCAUCAGAUACCUUCCCAACCUGGGACUCUUUAGAAUCCACCACUUCAGCUUCAACAUUCUUCUCCUGCUCUUCAGUAUCUUCUGCUUUGCAAUCUGUAGCUGGGGUCUCAUUCUUGUUUUCAUUCUCUCUCUCCUUUACAGCAUCUUUAUCAGUGGCCUGAGUUUCAAUUGUUUGGGUUUCACCCCCUUUCUCAUCUUGACCUUCCUUUGCAACAUCUUUCUCAGUCACUGUACCAGUAGUAUCCUUCACAGAUUUUUCUGCUUCUUCCAUGUGGACAUCCUGUGCUGCUUCACUUCCUUCAGGAGCUUCUUUCUCCUUAUCAUCCUUCUUUGAACCAGAAGAUUUUCUGCUUCUUUUCUUUGGAGUCUCUCUCUCUGGUGGUGGAGUUGCCUUUGCUUUCUCGCUGAUCCUUGCUGAUCUUCUUGGGGUUUCACCAGUUCCCCAGUCAAAUUCUGAUAUUGGAGGACCCCCAGGGUGGGUCUUGAGGUACUGGUCCAAUUGCUUCCUGCUGGUGAUCUCCUCUCCUGUUGGGGCUGUGAAUAUGAUUUCAUUUUUCUUUGGUGUACCUCCUUUUUUGAGCAUAAACUGCAUGAGAGGAAGAUACUUCAUUGGGAUUGUGUAAAAACAGAAAGACGACACCACGGGAACUCAACUUGAAGGCUUUUAACUACCAAAACAGAUGCAUUGGGAUUGUGUAAACUACAGAUGAAUGCCAAGUGAGCUAGUUCCUCAAGGACAAGAAUUCAGAACGUAAUGAAAUCCAGAACUAGGACCAUAAGUCUAGGAUCAGAAAUAGCCUAAGGAUCCUGCUUGAAUCAAGACUAGACAGGAUGAAUUAAGCUAACUAUUCCAUGAUAAGGAAAGACUAGAUCCACAACAAAAAGAUAAAACAGUAAGCCAAGACAAGCAAUCAGCCUGUUCCACAAUUUUCGGAACAUAAAUCCAGAUUUUUGGAGAAUUAUAGAGUUCACAUUGCACAAUAAAACAACACUUCAAAUUAAAAAAAAAUGUGGGAGUUUAUGUUUGAUGCUUAGUUAAGAACCCAGACAAUGAGAUAAGCAAUAUGUUUAGGAAAGAUGCAUUAAACCAAGGGAGUCCUACAAGUUGAUAUUGAAGCAUGUGCAACUUGACAAAGAUUGGCUCCAGCAAUCUUCCUUCCACUCAUGUUCAACCUAAAAAGCUUAGCCAAAGCUUCAUGUUUCAACUUAUUGUGCGAGAUAUGGUGAUGAUGAAAGACACAUUAAAGGUAUAGGCAUAGAAGAGUGUACUUCAAGCUAGUCCUUAAGGGCAUCCAGUGUUUCCUUCAAAAAUAAUAAAAACAAAUCAUAGUAUCCUUUAAGCGAAUAUUGGAUUCACAUCCACGGUCUCAUUUUUCCAUACAAAAUUUAUAAAGUUUAACCAUCCCAUGUUUUUUCAUUUACUAAUAAAGAUCUCUUCAUCUUAAAAAGUUUCAGCACAGUUGGUACAUCGUGAUAUGAAUGGCACAUGGGCAUGCAUAUAACACUGCCUCUUCAGCUGCCUUGUGUUUGCUCACAUUAAUGAAUGUGAACAUUGAAACUCUUUAAUGCAUUUAUAAAUUUUAAGUUCUUGAAUAUGCUGGGUUGUACAAAGUAGAAUUUGGAAUUCAUGCAUGGACACAAAGAACUGUAAAGACAACUUAAAAAGUUCUAUCAUCGCAGCCACAAGCACCGAUAUCAGACCAUGAAUGUCAGCAACAGUCGUGACCCAUCAGAUAAUGACCUCAAGCACCAGGUAUUAAAUUCCCGUAGCAGUCAAAACAAUAAUUGAAAUACUGGUCAUACCAGUCAUCAAGAUAAAAGACAUUACAUGCCCCAGCAGCAGUUAGGCAUACUAAACAUUUACACUAUCAGGUUUCCAGAAAAGUAGAAAAUUAGGUUGUGGGAAGCAAGUAAAUGAUAAAACUUGGCAAAUAAAUCAAACAACACGAAUUCAAUUCAGCAGAUAUACAGGAAAUUAAACCAUCAAAUCAGUGCUCUUUGAAGGAACAAAUUGGCAUGGCCUAUGCAAUAGUCUAAAUAUAGGUGUUCUAUAUAGACAAAAAUUGCACCAAAGGUGUAAGUAUCAAAUUAAGACAGGCCAUUACCUAAUGUGGUUUUGCUUCACUUGGGAAACAGGAAGACAACCAUCAAUUUUGGGAUUUUACCGAAGAGAAGGUCUUUUAUUUAAUUUAAUCUAGUAGUACAUCAUGAGAUGGAAGCAUACUUCAAGAUCUAGUCCUUUACAAAAGAAGAAAGUGACAACAAAAAACAGCAAAUCACCCCAAAAAAAAAAGCCAGUAACAGAAAAUUCCAUGAGAAAAAAGGAAAAUCAUAAAUAGAAUUCUAACCUCAAUCUCAUGUAAAUUAAAUCGUGAUGAUGAUAAGUUGACGACCCAAGCCCAGUCGACAUACAAAACCAACAACUUCUUGAGUUGCUUUACAGAACUGCUUUCCCAAGCAUAUAGCUUAUCAAAAAGCAAUAUACAAGCCGAAGGAAAAAAAAAGGCUCUCCAAAUCUUAAACGUUACAGCUAACUAUUUAGUGGAACGAAAUUAUGAUUUUACCAGACUUCAUAAUCAAAAUAUAUGGAAGAAAAGAGAAACCUACAGGUGCUCCAUAAAUUGAAGCAGCUGAUUUGGUAGCAAUUACAAUCUUAAAAGUACACAAUAGAAUACAACAUAGCAUUUCAAGAGCUGCAUUGCCUUAUUAGACGCUUUCCACUCUUAGAUAAACUUUCAAGACCAAAAAAAGUCAUUUCUAUGAAACUCAGGGUUUGCCAGCUUUGAAACCAGAAAUACACUGUGCCAAAAGUUUAGAAACAUUUAAACAGGGCAUGCUACCAAUCAAGUACAAACAAGCAAACAACCUUCAACCAGUAACUGCAUAAAUGAAAAAUGUUCCUAAAAUUCUGAGCUUAGAAAUUGCUAGUGUGUAACCUAAUUCUUGACCAAAGCCCAAAUCAUUAAACCAUUUCGAGAAUUUAGAACUCAAUCCCAGUUGCUGAAAAUGCAGAAACCAAAAAGGUAAUUCGGACAAAACCAACCCUAGUAAUUACGGCAACAAGCUAUAGGUCAAACUACAGACUCAAUUCAACUUGCACUUUCUUCUCCACAGUCUUGUUAGGAAAUCCUAGAUGGUAUCUUAAAAUACACAUGAAAGUAAAUAACAAUAAAACCUAACUCCGACUGAUAAAAUUGAAUGCACGACUAAUGCAAACAGAAGGUACAAUUAACUAUGGCAACGUCGUUAUGUAAUGCCCCAGCUUACUUAUCAUCACCAUGGAAAUUAAGUUCAUUUCCUUUUCAUCACCAGCAGAAUCCAUAUCCCAGUCCAAAAAACACAGAGUAGAACUCAUGCUGAAUAACAACAAUUAAAGAACCAAAAACAACAAAAUGACGCGGACCGAUUAAACAAGUUACCAUGGCCUUCUCAACCCUAGCUUCAAAAUUUACAAAUGAACACCCAUAGUUGGUCGAAUUCCACUUCAGAAACCACAUAACCACACCAAAUGGAAAUAUGCCCCUAACCCAGUUCACCCCAAACAAGCCAAAAAUAAUCCCAAAAAACCUCAAUAAACCCGUAAAAAACAAAACUUCAGAUAACCCCGGGUGACACACCGCAAGUCUUGUAAAUCCCACCUCAAACCAGCAUAAUUACACAGAAUUAAACGAAGUCCAAUUGAAUUCAAGGACGCAAAACUCAAAUAAACAAAACCACAAGAACGCAAACUUUAGAAAACCCAAUCAAAAAGCACACAAAUACAUGAAAAUAGAGAAAAAGGAGGACUUUUCUGAAAAGGGGUAACCUUUUUCUUCCAGCCAGAAGGAGCAGGGAGCUCCAAGCACACGAAUUCGUUGGCUUCCUCAACCGAGCUCGCCAUUUCUCUUCUUUACCUACUCAAUUUCCAGAGUUCAAGUUACUUGAAUAUUUUAAUAGCAUAAAAAGGGAAUAUAUAAUGAGCAGCGAGUCAUAGAGUGAGAGAGUCACCAGACUCAGACCCGCACACAAACAAAACGGGACCAACUAACUUUUAACUAUAUAUUAACUGCACCCACACAUGUAUGUAUGUGUAUUUACCUAAUAAUAACGAUAAAAAAAAAGUCCCAGUAAAUAUUUAGCACUGCCAGUAAUCUCAGCCACCUUUAUUAGUUUCUCUGCCUACUUAAUCUUGGGAUUUUUCGGUAAAUCCUGAAAUUUAACCACCUAAUCUGACGGUGUUUUACACUGGGAUUCAUUUUAGUGCCAAGCAUUGGAAAUGGUUGUACACUUUGCAAAAUUGGAGGGAGAGCAAUAGCCUGCAGAUGUGACACGUUGUUGAGGCAAUUUAAUGAGAUCAGAUUUGUGGUAUUUUGGCCACAUUCACUUCACUUCAUUUCAUUUAGCCUUUUUUAGCGUCUUUGGCUUAUCUUCAUUGUUUUAUCCUUUCGUGCGGUGGAUCAUUAUUAUUAAUUUUUCUCUUUUUCUACUUUUACACUUGUAAUUAACAGAUUAAAGACCUCAUCCUUAUCCUCUUCUUUGACUUGGACCUGCUUAGUAGUAGUAAUAAAUUGCAACUUGUCGUGCUUAAUUGAUAUAUCAGGCACUCAGCCAGAAAUUGGCAAGGUUUAUUUAUUUAUGUAAAAAAAAAUAUAAAUACUAUUAGAAAUGGAAAUGCAAUGGUAGCUCAUGUUAUGGAUAAGGUUGAGGUAACAAAAACCAUUACCUAAGGGCUCUUUGAUAUUCCCGCAGUCCUACAUCGAUCCUAAAGGGUUUGGGAGUUGGGUAGUUAAGCCUCCAAGUUUGUCUCAAGAGUUGCCGGCUUUUGAAAUUAAAUUUGAGAUUAGAUUUAAUUAGCUAACUUUAAAAAUCUGAUAAAAAAAAAAUAAUGGACUCUUUGAUAUGUCCAUGUUGCAGAGCCCACUAAAUGGUAAUCUAAGAGCCCAUGUUGAUAUGUCCAUGUUGAUAUUUCGGGCUCACAGUUCUGUGUGCCCCAAUCCGGUAACUGCUAGCCCAACAUUGAAAGGGCUUGGUCUCUGUCCCCAGAUAUUGCGUGUUCGUUGUGUAUCUGUAUAUAUCAUGUACUUUUUUCUUGACCUUUGAUUUAAUUGAACAUAUCAAUGAAGUACUCCAUUACUCAUAGUUAAUAUAUAAUCUGUUCUAAAACUCGAAGAUUUAGAAUCUUGGUUAGCGCUUUUGUUUGCACUGAAAUGCUACCAACAAUAUACUUUCCUUUUUCUUCUCGGUUAAAUGUGCUACUCACCCAGCUUCCAAAUUAGCUUUCAGUUAUUCACUUCCUUUUUUUUUUUUUUUUUUUUCCGGAAACGAUAGAAAUUCCAGGGCUCUUUCUUGACGUACGUACUUGCAAUUUUACACAGCUUCCCACGUUUGUGGUAUGACAUGCAACCAAACACUACUGGCAGUGCUCCAAAUGUUACAACAUAUUCUCCAUGGGUUUUUUUUUUUUUUUUGGUUGGGGUGGAACUUAUUCCCAUAGCUGGCCUGCUACCUUAUUACUCACCCUUCACCCUAGGCUAAAAAGGGUUCAAACUGGGGUAAGUUGAUGAUAAUAUGGCCCUACUGAUAUAGGAGUAGGGAUGCUCUCUGACCCAAGAAUAUGUGGCAUCAGAAACUUUAGUGAUUUUCACUUAGUAUUAUGUAUUUACCGGAAUUUUUAUUUUUAAUGCAUCUUUAUUUACCAAAAAAAAAAAAGUAUUUACCGGGAUAAUAUCAGAAACCGCUCCUGAGGUUUUUUGUAAUAUCACUUAGCACCCCUAAAAUUUUAAAAGUAUCGCUUACCUCAUUCUCAAAACUGCAAAAUAACUGUAUUAUCCCUUACUGGAUGUAUAAUUCACAUGUCAAAUAAAUGGAGCUUAAAAAAUUAAAGGAAAGAGAAACAAGAAUACACUUUCUUUUCUUUCACCUUUUUCCAACAUUUUCUCUUAGUCAUUUUUUUGGAUGACUAUGUAAUUUUUUAUUUGUAAAUAUAGUAAUUAAAUUUUGUUUAUCUUUUUUCUUUUUAUGAUCAUGAUAGAGUGGGAUAUGAUUUCUUUGUUUAUUUUGAAUAAAUUUUUAUAAUGAUUUAGUGCAACUUAAAGGUUUAUAUCAUGCGUUGAGAAGAGGUUGGGAAAAAAAGAUAAGAUUCAUGAGAAAUUGAGCUAGCAUAUAGAGUUGAAUUGGUGCUAGUGUAUUUCUUUACAAAUAUCUAUUUUUACUUUUUAAAUUUACACUUUUAUGAACUAUAGUUUUGUGAUGUUGUGGUACUGUUAAAAAUAAUUUUUAAUGUUGUGAUUUUUCUUGGAAUAAAUAAAGCGAUUUAAAAGCAUUUUUAUUUAGUAAUAUGAGCAAAAGGAUAGUUCGGAGUUUUUAAAAAUCUUGUUACACAAAAAUAACAAAAUAAAGAGAACCAAGCGACUAUUUUUAAGAUUUUAGAGGCGCUAAGUAAGUAAUAUUAAGAGAAACCUUUGGAAGAGCUUUCUGACAUUAUCCCUUAUAUAUUUUGUGCUUUUAAGGGCUGAUGAGCUGAGUAGGUGCCGCCGGCCGGGCGAUAGUCAGAGAGAUGAAGUGACAAGAAAUGCAAUGAAUGCAUGACAGUCAUGGAUUUGACGUUUCAGAUUCUGUCCCAGCCGUUUUCGUUCACACAGACACAGCUCUUUUAAAUUUAAUAAGAAAGAAAGGAAAAGAAAAAAAAAAAGAAAGAAAAAGAAGCAGCCCCAGCAUCCUACUGGCGUCGCUUCCCCAAGUUUCCCAGUGUACAGUUAUUUUCUAGGAGAAAACAUUGCCAGCUUGUAAUGUACAUUGUAGUAGGACAACCCUCUUUUCAGAUCCCAAGGACCAACAUUGAUUUGAUUCAUUCCUUGUUUUUUUUAACAGUUUUCCUAGAUUUCAGCUUCCGCUCUAAUUUUCUUUUUAUACACCUUUUUAUUUUUGUUACAACAAAUAAAAGAAGCAUUCACUAUUAAUAUCUCGUACAUCAAAACUGUUUUAAACGCCUGCAUGAAUCCGUUGUUGGACAACAGACGAAUGUAAGUGUGAAACCCGCUGAUUCUUUUUUCUAAUUGCGAAAUUGCUCUCUCAAUAUCAUCAAGUAAGACUGAAAAACAAAGAAAUGGGCGAUAUUGUUUGAAACAAUGCAGCCAAAUUGGCUUGACAAAGUAGUAUUUGGUUUUUAGUGGUCUGCUGCGUUGGCCGUAGAGGAGUGUGACAUGAUGGAUGGAUGGCAGAUGACUAAAAUGGUGGUCCAUCGAUCACUCUUUUUUAUCACCAGGAUUACAUGUGUUGUGGGAAUGCGUUUGUACGUACCUAUGCUUUGACACAAAAGGUCUUUUCCUGGUUUAUAUAUAUAUAUUUUCAGCUAUAGCGAAAUGAAAAGCAAAAAGCUUUUGCCACCAAUGGCAUUUUGCUCAUUACAGAUGCUAGAUUGGCAUAGCAUGGUACCAAGUAUAAGCUGGUAAAAGGCUACCAGGGGACCAGAAUUUGGGUUUUAACUUUCAAGCACCCUCACCGCCAUCUCUCCCCCCUCCCCCACAAAAAUUCAAUACCCUGGGAUCAUGCUAGCUGUUCAAUCAAAAUCCCUCUUCCCUCCCUCUCCUUGACCACCAGAAAAUGAUAGGGGGGGGGGGUUACAAAGAGAUAUAGGGAGAUAGAGUUAAAAAGCCUACAGCAUUCUACCAAAUGCAGAACUUUGUAACUUUUCAAUCUAGUAUUGUUUUCUUUCUUUUCACCCACCCGAAAAGGGAAUUUUACGUUCCUGAUUCCCUUCUGGUUCAAUGUCUCAAAAGAUAGUGGCUUGCCUUGCUAAAUUUGGUUAAAGUUGUCCACUGAAAGUACCAUCGACAAGACAUUUGAUAAGGUUAGUAAAAAUUAUCAGAGGAGUAGAAUCUCAAUUUUGUUGAUGUUGAACCUUCACUUCCCGCACUUGUCCAUCCAUUCUAAAGACGAUCUUUGAAAGUUAGGUACGCGUAAUGCACGUAUCAAGCUGGUAAAGUAGAAGUUUGCCAUGAAUUCAUUCUUAAUUCGUUUUCUACUUCAAGCAAAAGAUGCCAAUUACUUGGUCAUAACAAGAAACUUGGCGAAACUAGAACAAUUGAAAGCUAUCAUACAACACUAACUAAUUUUUUUUCUUGGAAGAUCGAGACAUUGUUACAUGUUUUCUCUUAUAUAUAUGAUUAGUAAAGGGCUGGAAGUCACGCAAAAGGAAAUGAAAACUUUUGAGAAUUUACAAAUUCACUAUUUUCAAUGGUAUUUUACAAAAUUUAGAUAGAGGUCGAUCGAAUAAACUUCAUGUCCCUAUUUCAGAUGAAAACUCGAAAAUUUUACCAAUUAGUCUUACAUGUAUAUAACACCUAAACGAUGCCCUAUAUUAAUAUCCAUUAGGUAACCUUAGAGCAAGAUUUUAGCACCCCAAAAGGUAAAAUUAUUAGUGUCUAGACGACGACCAAUGUUAGCAUUCAAGACCUAAAAGAUGGCAUGAGGCAAGCUGUUGGCCGAUUGAAAGGAUGGUUUCUGAGCAUGUCAUGGAUUUGUAUGCCUCAUUAGCUGUUCGCAAGAAACAAGGCUCAGGAAGAAUUGUAUGAUACUUGAAAGCAAAAUCAAGGAUGAUCGCCCAAAUUUUAUAAAAUUACCAUGCCAAUUUUUUCAGUGCCCCGCGUAAUAUCCAAAUUGCCAGUGCAGUCAAGUUAAACUAUCAUUCUCGUUUAGAUAUUAUAAAUGCACAUCGAAUAAACUGCCUAUAUCUCGAUAAUAAUGUAGGAUAUGUCCAACAAACACUACUAGAGUUGUAACCGAAAGGACUUUACUAUUAACAUUUUCUUGUGCUAAUCGCAAAGAGGAGCAAUCAAAUUUUGCAUAUAUCAUCAAAUAAGAUGAUUAGUCGGAAUAUACUUUCUGUAAAAUGUUUUCCUAAAGACAUAAACCUCCCACAAAUUUGUAAAACAAGGGACAAACAAAGAAAAGGGAUCAUGUAUCCAUAGAGGCCAGAUUGAAGAGUUCCAUAAAUACAUAAGCAAAAGAAAGUAGCUUACUGCAACAGCACACUGGUAGUAUCUUCCAUACAGCAUUUUGUAACAAGUACAACGCAGGACUGGGAUAUUGUGAUAGUAAUACAAGCUUAAUAGUAAUACAAGCUUAAUAGUGUCACAAGUCUUGUUCAAUUCAUUUGAAGAGCUCGGAAAUCACUGACAAGCUUUGUGGGGGGGGGGGGGAUUAUGGCGCUCUCAUUUGUUCAAUAGUGCAGUCCUUGGCGUUAGGCGCUUCUCAGAAUCCUGCCAAAGACGGAAAACCUAAAAGUCAUCAACCUUGAAUAUAAAGACCAAAAAAAAAAAAAAGAGUUAAUCAGUUUGUUUCGCAAUGAUUGUGCAACUAGAAUUGAGAUUAGAAUCUUCUCAAUUUUAUAUUUUGAAGCAGAAUGCGCAUCUAGCUAGUUAAUCACAUGCAUUUGAAGAGAUUGAGAACCAGAUGCAUAAAACCAUAAGAACCCUGUGUCUCCCGAACCGUGGAUGCUGUGAUUAUAGCCCUUGCUAGCUCCUAAAUUUGACCCUGGGAAGUAAUAAUACAGAAUCGUGGUACUUUUUCCGUUUCUUUCCUUCUUGCUCUUUUUUUCUCUUUUUUGAUCAAGUUAUCCUCAGACUAAAAUAUCAAAUGGCUACUCAUGAUUUGCAUACUUAUGGUGACAAGUGACAAGAGGCAUUUCGCCAGAACGAUGGACAGUACAUAAGUCAGAAAACUUAAACCUACACAACUAAAGUACGUAUCAUGCAUCUCUAAGAAGAAAAAUAAACUUCCGACUCUUUUCUUCUUUGUUAAUUUUCUUGUUUUUUUUUUUUUUUUUGGAUGGGAAAAGCUUGGGAUAUUAUGCAUGCAUGCAACCACAUCCACAGUUCUUCGCAUGCCGACUCAGUAAAUCAGCAACCCCUAUUUGCUUCAGUCAAAAAAGAAAAAUUUUUAGUCAAAUUCCUCAAUUCACGGGCAUUAACUCAAUAAUUUUACUUACCAAAAAAAAAAAAAAAAAAAUCGAUGUAUCUCUUGGUAUCUACUUCAUACACACAACCUUGUUGAUUAAUUAUAAAUAUACCAUGAUCUCUCAAUUACUCAAAUGUGUUAAGGGGGCCAAGAUGGCUAUGAUUCUUUAGAGGCUCCAAAUGACGAUCUUUUAUGAAUUUUAAUUGCAGCAUAAACCCAAAACUCGGAGAGAGCAAAACAAAUAAUGAUUAGAAACUGAAAAAUAGUCUUUUUAUUUAUUUAUUUUUUGGAGUUACGUACCUCGCCUAGUUUGGGUUUGUUAUUGGUCUCCAACAUGAGCCCAAAGUGAAUGUGAGGGAAGUGCGCCCACUUUUACAGCCAAGAAUUCAAAGUUCACAAGUCAUCAUCAGCCAAAUUCAACAAAAGUGGUAUUACUGCUCUGAUAUCUGCUGUUGUGCAAUCCAAGAAAAGGCGAGACAAUUAAAGUUUGCAAAGAUUAACGUGCACACUUACAUUCUUGGCAGCUGUACUAAAAGCCUCCCUGUGGUUAAUAUCCGGGUUAUUGGCUUUGAUCCUCUGAAUCUCUUCUCUGCACGUAUUUUUGUUUCUCCCAUCAAUAAGGUGGUGUAACGAAAGUGAUAGAUCACUUAUUGCUACUAAUAAGUUCAAUGUGGCAAUGCCCAAGAAAAACAGAUGAUUAAAGAGUGGCUAGUAUUAAUUCAGGUGAUGAGUACUGAGGCAGGCGCAGGUGCAAUUACUUUAUGAACUGGUUGUAUGCAGAUGGUACUCGCUGUCUCUUCUCAGGAGCUGAAAAAAGGAACUCGUGCGUAUGAUAUGAUGAACAAAAUGGGAGAAACAAUAAUUUUAAAAAAAAAAGAAAGAAAUUAAAAACAUGCAUAAGUAGGGAAAACUGGGGAAAUUAAAUCAUUCAAGUUACUAACGCACGCACGUCGAUUCACAAUCCUUUCCUCAGCGCGGUUUGGUAUGGAUGGUCGCGUUGCUGGCUUGAUGUUGUAACCUUUGGCGGAGGAACCAAAGUCGAUCCUGUAUUGAUCAGGCGGAGUGGAGUUCUGAGCCUGAAAUUAACCCCGUGUUACCAAGUUAAUGAAGAAACACUCGGCCGGGAUUGAUUUGUUCAAAAGCAUCAUUAAUUAAAUACUAUCAGCAAAUGUGAAAGACAGGAGUUCUGCAUCUGUUGCUCGCUGGCCCCAUCACUUCUUCACUCAUUUACUACGUCUGCACUCUGCUGAGUUGAGAAGGCUGGAUGGGGCGGGGGUCAAUCUUCUUGGCGUUGGGUGCUUUGAGUGUGAGAAAGAGAGAGGAAGGGAGAGUUGACUGAGACAUUCAAAAGAGUGAGAGAGAGAGAGAGAGAGAGAGAGAGAGAGAGGAGAGGAUCACAACAUAGUUAGGAAUAUGACGAUGACGAUGAGAAUGGAACCCAGAGAAGUGAAAGCCCCCCCACUAAAGGAAAUGCGGGAUUAGAUGGGGCUGUGUUUCCGCAGUAGAGGACAAGCCCCUGAUGGAAAAGAGAUCAUGGGGUGGCAAAAAUAAAAAUAAAAAUAAAAAACGAACGAAAGAAAGAAGUUAGCAACCUUCAACCAACAAAACCAUACAUGUCAAUCAAAACAUCAAAUCAGCAGAUCCAAAAGCAAAAUAAAAUAUCCCCUGAUAUAUAAUCCUAGUUUACUUUAACGGGGCAGGAGUUUGACACUGCCUGACUAAUUACACUGUCUAGCCGCAAAAAUACGGCCUACAAAGACUAGAAAUAAUUAUUCUGGCGGCUGUUAGGGUUCUGUCUCAGGUCUCAGAGGGAGGGAAGAAAAAAAGAAAAGACUCGAUCUACGAAGAUUGCAUCUCAAGUUUGUUAAUGGAGAGGGCUUGGGAAGAAGAGAUUUGAGAUUGAUUCCCUCAAAAGAAGGAAAAAUCACCCCUCCCACCCUAGAUUUCAGAAGCCUAAGUAGAUGGAUCGCCCACAAAUUGAGCUGAUCAAUGUUGUUACUGCCGGCCUGCCAUACUGAAGAUAUUAUGGGGUGCUGACCUGAACAUCUUGCCAGCAGGAGGAGGAGGACAGCGACUGGAAUGCAGCUGCCAUGUUCACGGACCAUAGAUUGGUGCAGUGUCCACAUCGGACGGUCACGACAUCAAAUAAGCUGCUGCAUGGAACACUCACCUGAAAAAUUCAACAAAAACCACCAAAAUAGACUUCUCAGAAGCCGCUGUUAUAAAGUUACCAGUCCCGAAAGUCAAGAAACAUACGAUUUUCUACCUCGAGAUCCCUCUUACUCAAUAUAAAUCCAUAUACCGAAAAAAAGGAAAAAAGAAAGCAGCGAUUUUUUUCCCAAUGAACUGAGGGCUAACUAUUGAAUAGCUAAAGGGUUCAAGGGGGCUAAUAAAAAAAUAUAGCUACCUCUUUGAUUCAAAAAUAAUAAUAAAAGAAACCCUAAAAUGGAGAGAGGGGAAGUAAUUGUUCUUUAUUUUGCUAUUCGCUGGAGUUUUCCAUAGAAAACCAGCGG
rnacentral:lncRNA from 1 species